CGCGUAGGCGGACUAUUAAGUCAGGGGUGAAAUCCCGGGGCUCAACCCGGAACUGCCCUUGAUACUGGUAGUCUUGAGUUCGAGAGAGGUGAGUGGAAUUCCGAGUGUAGAGGUGAAAUUCGUAGAUAUUCGGAGGAACACCAGUGGCGAAGGCGGCUCACUGGCUCGAUACUGACGCUGAGGUGCGAAAGUGUGGGGAGCAAACA
rnacentral:rRNA from 1 species